GCUUCUGCUACAGAGAAAACAUUCGGCAUUGUCUAUUACCUGAAAUCUUAGCAAUCUGUCCUUAGUCUUGAGUCUUUUUAGCACAGCUAACCACAUCAUAAAACUAUGUUUGGGAGUGUUAAGUCUGCUCCAAACCACUUUGCUCCAAAAAACUCUUUCAGUUAUAGGACACAACAGCCGAUACCCCUGUGAAAUCGUGAACCUAUCAAGAGUAAACAGAGAUAUAUCAAUUAAAUUCUUCACCUUGUCCUUAAUUGCCACAAGUUUCCUCCAAUACCAGCUCCCUUGUAAUCCGUCUAUGACUUUGUUUGCUUUCUGCCAUAUUGGGAAAGAAGGAGGGAAAGGCGUUGUCUAGAGCGUGAAUCUGCUUUACGGAAGAAUUCUGGAUUAAAAUAGAAUGGUUACUAGUUAAAAUUUCUAAAUAUCGGGUUCUUGCAAGUUUUUCUAUUAUUUAGUGAAGUUAUAUUACAUAUUAAUUUAUAGAAUUCGGAGAAAUGAGCAAAACCUCACUAGUAAUUUUUCGCAUGGCUUGAUACAUUGUACAUCUUUUGCACUGAAAUAACAGUGAAACGAUACUAUCAUGAUUUUGCAGAGUAUCUUGAUUGAUGUGUUUUAAUCAAAGCUUCCACGAAGAAUUUGUUUGAGAAAUUUUUCUUGUGAAGUGAAUCUCUUUGUCAACUAUGCAAAUACUAGACAGUGAAAAAUUUGCCAGACUCGUGGAACUUGAUUAAGUUUCAAUA